AACUAACGCUGGCGGCGCGCCUAAUACAUGCAAGUCGAACGAUGUAGCAAUACAUAGUGGCGCACGGGAGAGUAACACGUGGAUAAUCUCCCCUCGAGAGAAGAAUAACUAGUCGAAAGAUUGGCUAAUACUUCGUAAAGACCACAGAAACAAAUGUUUCAGGGGUAAAAGUCGUAAGACGCUUGAGGAUGAGUCUGCGUCCCAUUAGCUAGUUGGUGAGGUAAUGGCUCACCAAGGCUUCGAUGGGUAGCUGGUCUGAGAGGAUGAUCAGCCUCACUGGAACUGACACACGGUCCAGACUCCUACGGGAGGCAGCAGUAGGGAAUAUUGCACAAUGGAGGAAACUCUGAUGCAGCGACGCCGCGUGAGUGA
rnacentral:rRNA from 1 species